rnacentral:tRNA from 1 species
GCCCUAGUAGCCCAAUUGGCAGAGGCAACGGUCUCAAACACCGUCAAGUGUGGGUUCGAGUCCCACCUGGGGCACCA